AGUGAACGCUGGCGGUAGGCCUAACACAUGCAAGUCGAACGGCAGCACAGUAAGCGCUUGCUCUUACGGGUGGCGAGUGGCGGACGGGUGAGGCAUACAUCGGAAUCUACUUUUUCGUGGGGGAUAACGUAGGGACACUUACGCUAAUACCGCAUACGACCUACGGGUGAAAUCAGGGGAUCUUCGGACCUUGCGCGAUUGAAUGAGCCGAUGUCGGAUUAGCUAGUUGGCGGGGUAAAGGCCCACCAAGGCGACGAUCCGUAGCUGGUCUGAGAGGAUGAUCGGCCACACUGGAACUGAGACACGGUCAAGACUCCUACGGGAGGCAGCAGUGGGGAAUAUUGGACAAUGGGCGAAAGCCUGAUCCAGCAAUACCGCGUGGGUGAAGAAGGCCUUCGGGUUGUAAAGCCCUUUUGUUGGGAAAGAAAAGCAGCAGGUGAAUACCCCGCUGUUCUGACGGUACCCAAAGAAUAAGCACCGGCUAACUUCGUG
rnacentral:rRNA from 1 species